GUAAAAGCGAUGCGUGGGAUUAGUAGCAUACUGCAGGCACUUCAGAGAGCCGGAGAUGGUGAAAUUUCGGUGUGUACCGAGUAGAGUGAAUGGACCCACAAGCUGUAGGACGAAAUUACCUAUUAUGGUAAAAGUAGCAACCUACCGGAGACCUUUACCGUUAAAAGAAGGCGGGUAUCGGACGUAUUGUCCCGUACUUAUAGUGAGUGGGCUUUUAUUAGCCAAUGAAGGUGGUACCACGAAAGUUAACCUUUCGUCCUUAGC
rnacentral:ncRNA from 1 species